rnacentral:lncRNA from 1 species
UCUUAUUGGGCUUUGGGCCUUUCUUGAUCUUAUUAGCUUUUAAGCAUUUGUUUUUUUUUUUUGGAUCAGCGCCUAAAGGAAGAAGAACUGGAGAUAAGAAAAUAUUUUUGUUGGGUUUGAUUGGUACUUGAGAUUUUUACAGGAAUAUUGUUUUUUUUUUUUCAUUAUUUAUUGAUUUGUGUGUUUUAAGGACCACUUUGACACUCAUGGUUAUUCUUGGAAAAGUAAAUAAAAUUAUAUUAGGUUUAAUCUUAAUAUCUACGACUACGAAUGUUGAGUUUUUUUGUUUAAUUAAAAUUAUUAUCUUCUGGAAAGAAUAAUCCUA